rnacentral:rRNA from 1 species
GACGAACGCUGGCGGCGUGCUUAACACAUGCAAGUCGAGCGGAAAGGCCCUUCGGGGUACUCGAGCGGCGAACGGGUGAGUAACACGUGAGUAACCUGCCCUAGACUUUGGGAUAACCCUCGGAAACGGGGGCUAAUACCGGAUACGACACAGCUUCGCAUGGGGUCUGUGUGGAAAGUUUUUCGGUUUGGGAUGGGCUCGCGGCCUAUCAGCUUGUUGGUGGGGUGAUGGCCUACCAAGGCGACGACGGGUAGCCGGCCUGAGAGGGCGACCGGCCACACUGGGACUGAGACACGGCCCAGACUCCUACGGGAGGCAGCAGUGGGGAAUAUUGCACAAUGGGCGGAAGCCUGAUGCAGCGACGCCGCGUGAGGGAUGGCGGCCUUCGGGUUGUAAACCUCUUUCAGCAGGGACGAAGCGUAAGUGACGGUACCUGCAGAAGAAGCGCCGGCCAACUACGUG